rnacentral:rRNA from 1 species
GGGAUAUUGCACAAUGGGGGGAACCCUGAUGCAGCGACGCCGCGUGAGGGAAGACGGUUUUCGGAUUGUAAACCUCUGUCUUUAGGGACGAAACAAGUGACGGUACCUAAAGAGGAAGCCACGGCUAACUCCGUCCCAGCAGCCGCGGUAAUACGUAGGUGGCAAGCGUUGUCCGGAAUUACUGGGUGUAAAGGGAGCGUAGGCGGGAAUGCAAGUUGAAUGUUUAAACUAUGGGCUCAACCCAUAGUCGCGUUCAAAACUGCAUUUCUUGAGUGGAGUAGAGGCAGGCGGAAUUCCUAGUGUAGCGGUGAAAUGCGUAGAUAUUAGGAGGAACACCAGUGGCGAAGGCGGCCUGCUGGGCUCUAACUGACGCUGAGGCUCGAAAGCGUGGGUAGCAAACA